rnacentral:rRNA from 1 species
GAUGAACGCUGGCGGCGUGCCUAAUACAUGCAAGUCGAGCGAACAGACGAGGAGCUUGCUCCUCUGACGUUAGCGGCGGACGGGUGAGUAACACGUGGAUAACCUACCUAUAAGACUGGGAUAACUUCGGGAAACCGGAGCUAAUACCGGAUAAUAUAUUGAACCGCAUGGUUCAAUAGUGAAAGACGGUUUUGCUGUCACUUAUAGAUGGAUCCGCGCCGCAUUAGCUAGUUGGUAAGGUAACGGCUUACCAAGGCAACGAUGCGUAGCCGACCUGAGUGGGUGAUCGGCCACACUGGAACUGAGACACGGUCCAGACUCCUACGGGAGGCAGCAGUAGGGAAUCUUCCGCAAUGGGCGAAAGCCUGGCGGAGCAACGCCGCGUGAGUGAUGAAGGUCUUCGGAUCGUAAAACUCUGUUAUUAGGGAAGAACAAAUGUGUAAGUAACUAUGCACGUCUUGACGGUACCUAAUCAGAAAGCCACGGCUAACUACGUG